GAUCAUGGCUCAGGAUGAACGCUAGCUACAGGCUUAACACAUGCAAGUCGAGGGGCAGCAUGAACUUAGCUUGCUAAGUUGAUGGCGACCGGCGCACGGGUGAGUAACACGUAUCCAACCUGCCGAUGACUCGGGGUUAGCCUUUCGAAAGAAAGAUUAAUACCCGAUGGCAUAGUUCUUCCGCAUGGUGGAACUAUUAAAGAAUUUCGGUCAUCGAGUGGGUAUGUCGUUCCAUUAGG
rnacentral:rRNA from 1 species